GAUGAACGCUGGCGGCGUGCCUAAUACAUGCAAGUCGAGCGAACGGACGAGAAGCUUGCUUCUCUGAUGUUAGCGGCGGACGGGUGAGUAACACGUGGAUAACCUACCUAUAAGACUGGGAUAACUUCGGGAAACCGGAGCUAAUACCGGAUAAUAUUUUGAACCGCAUGGUUCAAAAGUGAAAGACGGUCUUGCUGUCACUUAUAGAUGGAUCCGCGCUGCAUUAGCUAGUUGGUAAGGUAACGGCUUACCAAGGCAACGAUGCGUAGCCGACCUGAGAGGGUGAUCGGCCACACUGGAACUGAGACACGGUCCAGACUCCUACGGGAGGCAGCAGUAGGGAAUCUUCCGCAAUGGGCGAAAGCCUGACGGAGCAACGCCGCGUGAGUGACGAAGGUCUUCGGAUCGUAAAACUCUGUUAUUAGGGAAGAACAUAUGUGUAAGUAACUGUGCACAUCUUGACGGUACCUAAUCAGAAAGCCACGGCUAACUACGUG
rnacentral:rRNA from 1 species